CAGUACGAAUACGAGUCACAAUAAUACUUGAGUUUUCAUUCAAACCACAAUCAAAGUGGCAUAUAAAUACACAGUUAUUCGUCCAAAUUCAAUAUGCACGGCUUAGUUCUUUUUGGCGUAGUUUGGCUGAUAUAUUAUGGCAUAUAUAAAUACAUUAUGACACAGAAUAUCAUGGUACCCAGAAGCAACGCUGCGGCCCAAGGUUUACAAAGAAACGUUUUUGAUGUCUAAACCGAUUGUUGGCAAGGCCUUUGGAAUUGUAAAGACUUCUUAUAGACUGAAAAUGUAGGCGAUUUUGUAAAUGCAUCAGAUUAUUGAAGUACUACUUGGACUUUUGCCUACUGUUGUGGUUUUGAUUGUACUCUUAGGAGUCUCUACAGAUUCCUGAUUUUCAUAGACUUGGUCCAAUGGAUGGAUGGAUUCCAAUGGAUUCAAUGGGUAAAUGGACAAUGGAACUCACUCGGAAGCCUGCACAUGUUCGAGUCUCCGAAUGAUAUCUAUGUAACAGAUAAAUGAUCCUAAUUUCCCGAAUUACAUACAGAAAAUUGUAUACCAGAAGAAAUACAAAAAUACCACAGAACCACAAGCCCCCGAGGAGAUGGGGCAAGCAUCGGAGUCAUCCUCCAAAGAAAGUCUCAAGAAAGUGUUUGCUUGGAGUGAUGUCACCACUUGGACGCAUGUUCCAGAUUGUUCCAGACUGCUUACACCCUCAAUAUUCAUGGCAAUUAUAUAUUCAUAGAUGCAUAGAUCCAUUUCUUAAGUGGCAGAGUUCUCGUUGAUACCCAAAAUGUCCCAUGUUCAUUCGAUUCCAGCCUUAUCCAAUGGAAGCCACUUGCUUAACUCAAUCUGGGCUCAUUCUGGGUUUGGUCAUCGCACAGCAUACUAUCCCAUACCAUCCCAUUCCAUAACCCAUCCUAUCGCCACUCAUCUUUGGCAGGGGAUUUCAUAGAGGCUUGCGAAAUUCCACAUGUGACAAUUCAGCAUUCAAUAGAUGGAUGGCUGGGAUGACUGGGAUGGUUGGGAUGGCAUGGAGCUGGAGCUGGAGCUGGCUAAAAGCCUGUCAAUCGGCGAGAGGAAGCGCUGGGGACAAAUGCCCUAAGUAGAGACCCAAAUCUCUGGAAAGCAAUUAGCAAGGCAAAACCCAAAAGAAAGAUCACCGCAAGACCGCUGUUCGGGGCACCAAUUGCAAUUGCCCAGACGACGGACAGCAUAGCGACACAGAACCCAGAGGAAGACGGACAGAAGCGGGAUUUAUCAGAGACAGAGACUGAGUCUGAGUCUGAGUCCGAGAUGGAGCUGGGGUUUGAGUUGGAGAUGAAGAUGCAGAGACGCAGACGGAGAAAAGCAAUUCUGCGGCUGACGGUUUUCGCAGAAAAUUACAACUUGCGGGUAAACAAAGUCAACUGCCGGCAAUGGCCCAGACAUGGGGCAAGGGGCCGGGACCGGGGCCGGGGCCGAAGCUAGGUCUGAGUGGAAUCCAACAGAAAACUGUGGGGCUGUGGCGGUGGCUGUUCGGGCUGGAGGUUGAGAGCUCUAGAAGAAUUGGCGUUGAAGCCACACGCCAAAGUAAGCCCACAAGCCGUCUUUUGCUGCUGUUGCUGCUGAUGCUUCAACUCCCACUCCGCCUCCCAUGGCUGGUGCCGCCGGGCUCCAUGUGGAGUGGAUGUGGGUGCGCAAUUAUGCCGCCAGAGCAACCAAGUAACCAUAAAUUUUCUUAUCAGCGCCCAGCAAAAGUCCAGGAGCGGAUCUCAUCAGCAGUGGCCGCUCUCAAGGGCCCCAAAGUAGAAUCUCAUCAGUCGGCUGCUAAGCCACAUUGGAAGAGAGAGAAAGGGAGCGCGAGGCCAGACACGACAGCCACGCUGUAAUACUUAAUUUCUAAAUAUAUAUAUGAUUUCUAAGUAUAUAGGAAAUCCUUGAUUUCUUCAGUAUCGUCAAUGAAAUAUCACUACUCUUAAAGAAUGUAAAACUAAUGUAAAGCUAGAUUAAGUUGCCACAA